rnacentral:misc_RNA from 1 species
AAAAGACUAUAUAGAAUUCGUCACUGAAUUCCCAUGUUUAUUGGGACACCCUGUAUAAUCUAAGGGUUUUCAUGUUAAUACAACUACAAACUUCUCUUCUUUGUACGUUAUAAAUAAACAAACCAACAAAAAGCUAAAAAAAUUGAGGAUUUCUCUAUUUUUUGUAAAACAUUUUUUGGUAAGAAAAUUUUCCAUCCUUUACAAGGGAUUCACGUCACCAUAUAUUCAAUUUCUAUAUAUGCUACAUUGGAUAUUUCAGAAAUAUGCCUUUUUAGCUCAGCCAAUUUAACGAUGUUGUUUUAAAUGUUUUUUCUGAUUUCAAUGUUAGUAGAUUAAAUACUAAUGUUCUAUGCUCGGAUGAGAAAGCUACUAUCUACAUGUAGGUUUUAAGCCCUUUUCCAUUAACUUUUUCUAUAAAUAUGAACAUCUUUUUUUGAACAAUAGGAGGAAUCAGUUACAGAAGACAUAGAAGCGUUGAUAAUUUUCUCCUUCCUUAUACCAGGUGUUGCAUUUGUCACCAACAAAAAGCUCCGAAACUACCUAAGAAGAGGAUUUCAAACCUACAACCUAAUAAUUGACAUCUAUGGACACUGGAGGGUUUGCGGGUCUGACCACAAAGCAGUUUAUCCAAUGGUAAGGCCCAGUGAUGCAGUUCAACAAAUCCUCAGAUCUGAUCAAAGACGGAAAAUUCCAAGAUCUGCAAUAACCCCUGCAGGGAACAGAGCUCCAAAUAUCACAUUUGGAAACACUUCACCAAACAUUAGAAUUGGUAAGACUCCAUCAAAUCUGAACACACUGAGUGGAAAUAGUCUCAUGGUUGAAUCUGAGUAUUUUUCACUCAACACAAGAUAUGAUAUUCCCCUCACCACAAGAUCUCUCAGUAUCUGUUCUGAAGAUAUUUCACCAACCAAAAUAUCUCCUAGUAUUCAGUCCGGAGAUAUUCCACAAACCAAAAUAUCUCCUAUUAUCCUGUCCGGAGAUAUUCCACCAACCAAAAGAUCUCUCAGCAUACUGUCUGUAGAUGUUCUGCCAGACAGAAGAUCACCUAGUAUUGGAUCUGUAGAUGCUCCACCAUCCAGAAGAUCUCCAAGCAUCUGGCCUGAAUAUAUUCUUCCUUAUAAUAGCUCUCCCAGUAUCAGGUCUGUAGAUAUUCUUCCUUAUAAUAGCUCUCCAAGUAUCCGGUCUGUAGAUGUUCCACCAACCAGAAGAUCUCCCAGCAUCUGGUCUGAAGAUAUUCUUCCUUAUAAUAGCUCUCCCAGUAUCAGGUCUGGAGAUAUUACACCAAUAAGAACAUUUCCCAAUACUCUGCCAAGUCAUAGAUCCCUUAGAAUUCCCACAUGUACAAUAUCUCUUAGAAGUCCAAAUUCUGAAGCCACUUCAGAAAAUACUACAGCAAACCCUUCUGUACUUCCUGCCGUGUUUGUGACCCUUCCACUGAGAGUAAAUUCCCCAGCCCCCCAGAGCAAAAGCUUCAAAGAUUCAGCAUCAAAUGGCCAGAGAGAAAUAUCUACAAACACACCAAACAGAAGAUCUGCAUUCCCCAAUGUAGAAUCUAGUAGUACUUCCAAAGAUGCAAGCACUGAAAAUAUUCUACUGAGUCUGCUAUCUCAAAAAGCAUCAAAAGUUUCCAAACCGCCUGCUACCAAAAAUUCUUUAAAUAAAUUGGAAGAUUGUGAACAGAAUAACUCAGGAACAGAGAGAAGAUCUCCAAGUGCAAAUUCAGUCAGAUACAUUUCCCAAAUACUAGUUCAAACAGGAGCUUUACCAGCAAUCAAAAGUUCUGACGGAAUGAAAACACAAACAUUUGAUAACAAUAUUCCAGGACAGAUAUUUUACAACUCAGAUAGUGAGCAUUGAGUCUCGGGAUCAAGAGCUUUUACCUGAAGAAUUGAGAAAAAGUAUAACGGUUAAACAUUUAGAAGAGAUGCUACAUUGAAUAUUUCAGAAAUAUGCCUUGGGAGAUCAGCCAAUUUAACGAUGUUGUUUCAAAUAUUUUGUCUGAUUUCAAUGUUAGUAGAUAAAAUACUUAUGUUCUAUGCUCGGAUGAGUGAGCUACUAUCUACAUGUCAUCAUGUUCAGUUGAACACCAUGUCUCAGACGUGAGGUAUUUUCUUUAUGUUAUACAGUAAUAAUUGUUUUAUUUGUGUAAUAAAUAUAUGU